rnacentral:rRNA from 1 species
UACGUAGGUGACGAGCGUUAUCCGGAAUUAUUGGGCGUAAAGCGCCCGCAGGCGGCUGUUCAAGUCUGACGUGAAAUCGCUCGGCUUAACUGGGCGGGGUCGUGGAAACUGAAUAGCUUGAGGCAAGGAGAGGGGCGUGGAAUUCCCGGUGUAGUGGUGGAAUGCGUAGAUAUCGGGGAGGAACAUCAGUGGCGCAAGCGGCGCCCUGGCCUUAGCCUGACGCUCAGGGGCGAAAGCGUGGGGAGCGAACGGG